rnacentral:rRNA from 1 species
CACACGGCGGGUGCUAACGUCCGUCGUGAAGAGGGAAACAACCCAGACCGCCAGCUAAGGUCCCAAAGUCAUGGUUAAGUGGGAAACGAUGUGGGAAGGCCCAGACAGCCAGGAUGUUGGCUUAGAAGCAGCCAUCAUUUAAAGAAAGCGUAAUAGCUCACUGGUCGAGUCGGCCUGCGCGGAAGAUGUAACGGGGCUAAACCAUGCACCGAAGCUGCGGCAGCGACACUGUGUGUUGUUGGGUAGGGGAGCGUUCUGUAAGCCUGUGAAGGUGGCCUGUGAGGGUUGCUGGAGGUAUCAGAAGUGCGAAUGCUGACAUAAGUAACGAUAAAGCGGGUGAAAAGCCCGCUCGCCGGAAGACCAAGGGUUCCUGUCCAACGUUAAUCGGGGCAGGGUGAGUCGACCCCUAAGGCGAGGCCGAAAGGCGUAGUCGAUGGGAAACGGGUUAAUAUUCCCGUACUUGGUGUUACUGCGAAGGGGGGACGGAGAAGGCUAUGUUGGCCGGGCGACGGUUGUCCCGGUUUAAGCGUGUAGGUGUGUGUUCCAGGUAAAUCCGGUUCACUUUAACACUGAGGCGUGACGACGAGGCACUACGGUGCUGAAGCAACAAAUGCCCUGCUUCCAGGAAAAGCCUCUAAGCAUCAGGUAACAUCAAAUCGUACCCCAAACCGACACAGGUGGUCAGGUAGAGAAUACCAAGGCGCUUGAGAGAACUCGGGUGAAGGAACUAGGCAAAAUGGUGCCGUAACUUCGGGAGAAGGCACGCUGACACGUAGGUGAAGUGAUUUACUCACGGAGCUGAAGUCAGUCGAAGAUACCAGCUGGCUGCAACUGUUUAUUAAAAACACAGCACUGUGCAAACACGAAAGUGGACGUAUACGGUGUGACGCCUGCCCGGUGCCGGAAGGUUAAUUGAUGGGGUCAGCGCAAGCGAAGCUCCUGAUCGAAGCCCCGGUAAACGGCGGCCGUAACUAUAACGGUCCUAAGGUAGCGAAAUUCCUUGUCGGGUAAGUUCCGACCUGCACGAAUGGCGUAAUGAUGGCCAGGCUGUCUCCACCCGAGACUCAGUGAAAUUGAACUCGCUGUGAAGAUGCAGUGUACCCGCGGCAAGACGGAAAGACCCCGUGAACCUUUACUAUAGCUUGACACUGAACAUUGAGCCUUGAUGUGUAGGAUAGGUGGGAGGCUUUGAAGUGUGGACGCCAGUCUGCAUGGAGCCGACCUUGAAAUACCACCCUUUAAUGUUUGAUGUUCUAACGUGGACCCGUGAUCCGGGUUGCGGACAGUGUCUGGUGGGUAGUUUGACUGGGGCGGUCUCCUCCUAAAGAGUAACGGAGGAGCACGAAGGUUGGCUAAUCCUGGUCGGACAUCAGGAGGUUAGUGCAAUGGCAUAAGCCAGCUUGACUGCGAGCGUGACGGCGCGAGCAGGUGCGAAAGCAGGUCAUAGUGAUCCGGUGGUUCUGAAUGGAAGGGCCAUCGCUCAACGGAUAAAAGGUACUCCGGGGAUAACAGGCUGAUACCGCCCAAGAGUUCAUAUCGACGGCGGUGUUUGGCACCUCGAUGUCGGCUCAUCACAUCCUGGGGCUGAAGUAGGUCCCAAGGGUAUGGCUGUUCGCCAUUUAAAGUGGUACGCGAGCUGGGUUUAGAACGUCGUGAGACAGUUCGGUCCCUAUCUGCCGUGGGCGCUGGAGAACUGAGGGGGGCUGCUCCUAGUACGAGAGGACCGGAGUGGACGCAUCACUGGUGUUCGGGUUGUCAUGCCAAUGGCACUGCCCGGUAGCUAAAUGCGGAAGAGAUAAGUGCUGAAAGCAUCUAAGCACGAAACUUGCCCCGAGAUGAGUUCUCCCUGAGACUUAGAGUCUCCUGAAGGAACGUUGAAGACGACGACGUUGAUAGGCCGGGUGUGUAAGCGCAGCGAUGCGUUGAGCUAACCGGUACUAAUGAACCGUGAGGCUUAACCUUAC